GGCUGACCUUGCAAUUGUCCUCUUGAUGCAGGUUCUGAAGGAAUGCAGGCUGCUGAAGUCAGGAGGUCACGGCACAUUCACUGAAGUUCCAAAGGGACGCGUGGGAGGCCUAGGAGGUGAGACAAAUGUAGCAGGAUUAGCAUCCCUGCAGACGGCCCCUGAGAGCCUGUGAGAAUACAGCCAAAGCUGCCUCCGAGAUUGAGAAAUGAGAGGUAAGGAAUGUCUGCCAAGAAAAGUGGUGGGAAUCUAGCAAAGGCAAGCAAAGGAGAGGCCAUGUAGGCUGAAAGCAGCAAUAAAACUGCAGACAGUAAAGACUGGACUCAUGGUGACUGAGGGGAAGGAGAACUCCAUUGCACCAGCCCUUUGGAGAGAACGUCACGAAGAUGUGUGCCCCGGAUGCUGGACAUGGAGCUACUGACCUGGUUUGCCCAGCUGGAUUUUGGUCUUAGUUUAGUCCCCUCUCUUCUUUCUAUGCCUCUAUUUCUCCCUUUUGAAAUGGAAAUGCUUACUCUGUGCUUUUAUGUAUUGGAUAUAUUUAAUUUGUUUUCAUUUUCCACGGGGCUCACAGCUAAACAUUUACCAUGAGUCCCAGAUAAGAUUUUGGAAGUAGAUUUUUGGGUAAUGCUGUUGAACUGUUAAGAUUAUGGGGAUUCUUGGAAAUGGACUAAAUGUAUGUUGCAUUGCAAGAUGGGCUUGAGUGUUUAGAGGCCAGGGGCAGAAUGUUAUGGUUUGGAUAUGAGGUAUCUCCUAAAAGCUCAUGAAUGUGAAAAUGCAGGAAUGUUCAGAGGUAAAAUGAUUAGAUUGUGAGAACUAAAUUUAAGAGUGUAUUAAUCUAGGGGACUGGGGAUAUAGUUCAGUUGGCAGAGUGCUUGCCUUGCAAGCAUAGGUCCUGGGUUCGAUUCCCUGCACCAAAAAAAAAAAAAAAGAAAAGAAAAAGAAAAAGAGCUCAUUAAUCUAUUUGAUGCAUUA
rnacentral:lncRNA from 1 species